AUCAGUGAAGGUUUAACCAGCCUUGCUACAACAACAAUGAAAUAUUAUUAACUGAACAACAUUCUACAAUCCUAUAUAGAUGGAAUAAUGGUUCACCUUUUCUUUCCACAAAAUUCUGAUCGAAGAUUUGAACAGAUUCAGCAAAAAAACAUGGUUAACAUGUAAAAUGCCGCUAGACGAUUUCAAUAUAAAGAAGAAAAAAAAUCAUGUCAUCUCCACCUGCAUACUAAACUUCCUAAUCGACAACUAAUGCCACGAUAUAUGGGUCUUUGGCCUGACAAUACUCUCCACCGGCAAUGUCUCGUCCUUCCGCUAGAUAUCCACCUUUAAAUUUGAAGAAUUUAAAUACUACAGUAGUAACUAACACAUCUGCUCUCAGGUAUGAAUUCUUAAAAAUAGGGGCCGCCAUACUCUGCAAUAUACAUGCAUAACAACAAAAAUGAUACAUGAGAACAUUUGAUUUUGAAUAAGAUUGCUCGUAAUCAUCCAUAGAAACUUGCUACAAAAAUAGUUUUCAUUACGCAUACCUGAACAUAUGACAUGCCUAUCAUGGCCUUCAUUGCAAUGUAAACACACAUACAUCAAAUUAUCAAUAAAUCAAGUUCCUCACAUUC
rnacentral:lncRNA from 1 species